rnacentral:rRNA from 1 species
UACGUAGGAGGCGAGCGUUGUCCGGAAUUACUGGGCGUAAAGCGUGCGCAGGCGGUUAUGUAAGACAGAUGUGAAAUGCCCGGGCUUAACCUGGGAAUGGCGAUGGAGACUGCAAGGCUAGAGUUUGGCAGAGGGGGGUAGAAUUCCACGUGUAGCAGUGAAAUGCGUAGAGAUGUGGAGGAACACCGAUGGCGAAGGCAGCCCCCUGGGUCAAAACUGACGCUCAUGCACGAAAGCGUGGGGAGCAAACAGG